AUUGAACGCUGGCGGCAUGCCUUACACAUGCAAGUCGAACGGCAGCACGGGAGCAAUCCUGGUGGCGAGUGGCGAACGGGUGAGUAAUGUAUCGGAACGUACCUUUCAGUGGGGGAUAACGUAGCGAAAGUUACGCUAAUACCGCAUAUUCUGUGCGCAGGAAAGCAGGGGAUCGCAAGACCUUGCGCUGAUUGAGCGGCCGAUAUCAGAUUAGCUAGUUGGUGAGGUAAAGGCUCACCAAGGCGACGAUCUGUAGCGGGUCUGAGAGGAUGAUCCGCCACACUGGAACUGAGACACGGUCCAGACUCCUACGGGAGGCAGCAGUGGGGAAUUUUGGACAAUGGGGGCAACCCUGAUCCAGCCAUGCCGCGUGAGUGAAGAAGGCCUUCGGGUUGUAAAGCUCUUUCGGCCGGGAAGAAAUCGCAUGGGUUAAUACCCUGUGCGGAUGACGGUACCGGCAUAAGAAGCACCGGCUAACUACGUGCCAGCAGCCGCGGUAA
rnacentral:rRNA from 1 species